GAAAGGCCCCUUCAAAUUAUUCCAUUUCUCUGAACACGGGCGGGGUGUGUGUUUCCCCACAGGUGCCAUCAAGAAAAAGAGGGGACCGUUUAAAUUUGCAGUGUACAGUGAUUUUUUUUAAAAAAUGGUGUAUAACUUUUUUUUUUAGGGGAUCAUCUUAUAUGCAGGGUCAUCUUCCUUCCUGAUGGGGAAGCAGCGGAGAGCAAGAUGUUUGUCUGGCCACAUCGUGAGUUCAUAGGACCAGCAACAUUCAAGCCAGGGACCAUGCACAUCGCAGACCUUUUUCUUAGGUUCUACCAGCUUCUAUAGGACUGUCAUUCCCAAGCUGAAGACCGAAGCCUGGGUUCCAGUUGCUUCAGAAUUAAGAGGACUGGAGAGAAGAACUCCGGCACUCAGUGGGAUCCAAAAAGUUGGACCUUUCUUACCCAGCGUGGUUUCAAAGACAACCAGUUACUUGACUGAUCUUAAAGACAUCUUUGGCUGCAAGUUUCUGUUUUCGUUGCACCUAUGAGUUUUUUUUUUUAAGUUGUAUUAUUCUGAUUGUUGGAAGGUUUGGUGUAAAAUUUUCUUAUCUUACAUUUGUGUUGCAAGUUCGGAUUCUAAAUUAGCCUCACAGAACCCAGACAAACAAAUAAAGCAAACAGACAAACA